UAAGGCUGCGCAGGAGCUAAACUAGCGCCACCAACGAAGAGCAACGGAGAAUAGGGGAAGAAAAUCUAUCGACAUAUCAAGAGUUUGUUUCGAAAAUUUGCAAAAAAAAAAAAUUUGUUCCUUAAAAACAUAUUUUUAUCAUAUUUUAAAGGUGAAAUUGCAGAAUCGGGCGUUAGAGUGGCAUGCGGAGUGAUAUAAAGAAUAUUUUAGAGAAAGAAUCGUGAGAAAAUAUUGCUUCUUCGCUUCAAAAAACUUGAUGAGCUUCGUUGCUGUGAAAUCUUGAUGAUUUGUAUGGCAAUAUGGUUGCUCCGUUAUCACGCUGUCCACUGCAGCGCUGCUGUCGUCUCUGCUGCGGUUGUUACGCUAGUAGUCUAAGACGCUUUUCAUCAUGGUUCAGUAUCGUAGUAAGUUUAAAAAAUGCCCGCGGUCAUACAUUUUUCUUUUAAGUAAGUGUGUAUAUGUAUAUAGAAAUUGGUAAAAAACAUUAUGCACGUGUAAACUAACUUGGAUUGAUUACAAUAGAUUGAAAAAAUGGUCUUUUGUGAUGAUGAAAAAAGUAGGUAUAGCUAGUAUGAACGUAAUAAGAUAGACAAAAGCAUACGCAUAAUGAAAUAUAAGUCUUAUUGAAAGAGAAUAAAUGGUAAAAGUGUAGUAGUAAAAUGCACCUUUACGAUAAUUGUAAAUGAUUGUAAUAAAUGCUUUGCGAAGUA